rnacentral:rRNA from 1 species
CCCUUAGAUGUUCUGGGCCGCACGCGCGCUACACUGACGAAUGCAACGAGCUUAUAACCUUGGCCGAAAGGUCUGGGUAAUCUCCAAAUUUCGUCGUGAUGGGAAUAGAGUUUUGCAACUAUUAGUCUUGAACGAGGAAUUCCUCGUAAGCACGAGUCAUCAGCUUGUGCUGAUUACGUCCCUGCCCUUUGUACACACCGCCCGUCGCUCCUACCGAUUGGGUGCUCCGGUUAAUUGUUUGGACUGCUGUCAGUCUUUUUGGCUGUCGGCGAGAAGCUCUGUGAACCUUAGCACCUAGAGGAAGGAGAAGUCGUANCA